rnacentral:rRNA from 1 species
GGGCCCGCACAAGCGGUGGAGCAUGUGGUUUAAUUCGACGCAACGCGAAGAACCUUACCAAGGCUUGACAUUUUUCUGAAAGCGUAAGAGAUUACGCCCCCUUCGGGCAGAGUAAACAGGUGGUGCAUGGUUGUCGUCAGCUCGUGUCGUGAGAUGUUGGGUUAAGUCCCGCAACGAGCGCAACCCUUAUCUUUAGUAGCCAUCAGGUAAUGCUGGGCACUCUAGAGAGACUGCCGUGGAUAACACGGAGGAAGGUGGGGAUGACGUCAAAUCAUCAUGCCCCUUAUGUCUUGGGCAACACACGUGCUACAAUGGCUGCAACAAAGCGAAGCGAAAUUGUGAGAUGGAGCAAAAGCGCAAAAAAGCAGUCUCAGUUCGGAUUGUAGUCUGCAACUCGACUACAUGAAGCUGGAAUCGCUAGUAAUCGCGAAUCAGCAUGUCG